CCUACGGGAGGCAGCAGUGAGGAAUAUUGGUCAAUGUGCGGAAGCCUGAACCAGCCAAGUCGCGUGAGGGAUUAAGGCCCUGCGGGUCGUAAACCUCUUUUGCCGGGGAGCAGAGGUCCGGACGUGUCCGGGCCGGGAGAGUACCCGGUGAAACAGCAUCGGCUAACUCCGUGCAAGCAGCCGCGGUAAUACGGGGGAGGCGAGCGUUAUCUGGAUGUAUUGGGGUAAAAGGGUACGUAGGCGGGCAUUUAAGCCGGCGGUCAAAUGGCGGGGCUCAACCCCGGCCGGCCGUCGGAACUGGGUGCCUUGAGUGGGCGAGAAGUAUGCGGAAUGCGUGGUGUAGCGGUGAAAUGCAUAGAUAUCACGCAGAACCCCGAUUGCGAAGGCAGCAUACCGGAGCCCUACUGACGCUGAGGCACGAAAGUGCGGGUAUCGAACAGGAUUAGAUACCCCAGUAGUC
rnacentral:rRNA from 1 species